rnacentral:rRNA from 1 species
UACAUGGGGUGCAAACGUUGCUCGGAAUCAUUGGGCGUAAAGCGCGCGUAGGCGGUUACUUAAGUUGGAUGUGAAAGCCCUCGGCUUAACUGAGGAAGUGCAUCCAAAACUGAGUAGCUAGAGUACGAAAGAGGGUCGCGGAAUUCCCGGUGUAGAGGUGAAAUUCGUAGAUAUCGGGAGGAACACCGGUGGCGAAGGCGGCGACCUGGGUCGAGACUGACGCUGAGGCGCGAAAGCGUGGGGAGCAACCAGG